rnacentral:tRNA from 1 species
UAAAUAUCUAAAAUUUAAGUAUAUCAUUUACAAUGAUAAGAUGUUAUAAAAACUUUAUUUAUAAUUAAUUUUAUUAAUUAAGUUGUUUUUAUUUAG